UCCAGACUCCUACGGGAGGCAGCAGUGGGGGAUAUUGCACAAUGGGGGAAACCCUGAUGCAGCGACGCCGCGUGUAGGAAGACGGUCCUCUGGAUUGUAAACUACUGUCCCCAGGGACGAAGAUGACGGUACCUGGGGAGGAAGCUCCGGCUAACUACGUGCCAGCAGCCGCGGUAAUACGGGGGAUGCAAGCGUUGUCCGGAAUCAUUGGGCGUAAAGAGUUCGUAGGUGGCACGUUAAGUCUGGUGUUAAAUGCAGAGGCUCAACCUCUGUUCGGCACUGGAUACUGGCGAGCUUGAAUGCGGUAGAGGUAAAGGGAAUUCCUGGUGUAGCGGUGAAAUGCGUAGAUAUCAGGAGGAACAUCGGUGGCGUAAGCGCUUUACUGGGCCGUAAUUGACACUGAGGAACGAAAGCCAGGGUAGCAAAUGGGAUUAGAUACCCCUGUAACC
rnacentral:rRNA from 1 species